GAGCUCAAAUUUGAAAUCUGGUGGCCUCAGGUCAUCCGAGUUGUAAUCUAUAGAAGUGUUUUCCGUGCUGGCUCAUGUACAAGUCCCUUGGAACAGGGCGUCAUAGAGGGUGAGAAUCCCGUCCUUGACAUGAACUACCAGUGCUCUGUGAUACAUUUUCAACGAGUCGAGUUGUUUGGGAAUGCAGCUCAAAAUGGGUGGUAAAUUCCAUCUAAAGCUAAAUAUUGGCGAGAGACCGAUAGCGAACAAGUACCGUGAGGGAAAGAUGAAAAGCACUUUGGAAAGAGAGUUAAACAGUAUGUGAAAUUGUUGAAAGGGAAACGAUUGAAGUCAGUCGUGCUCUUUGGAUUCAGCCGGUUCUGCCGGUGUACUUCCUUUGAGUGGGGUCAACAUCAGUUUUGAUCGCUGGAUAAAGGCUGGAGGAACGUAGUACCCUCGGGUAAACUUAUAGCCUCCUGUCACAUACAGUGGUUGGGACUGAGGAACGCAGCACGCCUUUAUGGCCGGGAUUCGUCCACGUACGUGCUUAGGAUGUUGACAUAAUGGCUUUAAACGACCCGUCU
rnacentral:rRNA from 1 species